rnacentral:rRNA from 1 species
GAUGAACGCUAGCUACAGGCUUAACACAUGCAAGUCGAGGGGAAACGACAUCGAAAGCUUGCUUUUGAUGGGCGUCGACCGGCGCACGGGUGAGUAACGCGUAUCCAACCUGCCCAUCACUUGGGAAUAACCUUGCGAAAGUAAGACUAAUACCCAAUGACAUCCCACGAAGACAUCUGAAUGGGAUUAAAGAUUUUUCGGGAAUGGAGGGGAUGCGUCUGAUUAGCUUGUUGGCGGGGUAACGGCCCACCAAGGCAACGAUCAGUAGGGGUUCUGAGAGGAAGGUCCCCCACAUUGGAACUGAGACACGGUCCAAACUCCUACGGGAGGCAGCAGUGAGGAAUAUUGGUCAAUGGGCGAGAGCCUGAACCAGCCAAGUAGCGUGCAGGAUGACGGCCCUAUGGGUUGUAAACUGCUUUUAUAAGGGAAUAAAGUGGGUCUCGUGAGACUUUUUGCAUGUACCUUAUGAAUAAGGACCGGCUAAUUCCGUG